GGAUAACCUACCCUUAGGACCGGGAUAACCUUGGGAAACUGAGGAUAAUACUGGAUAGGCAAUUUUUCCUGUAAUGGUUUUUUGUUUAAAUGUUUUUUCGCCUAAGGAUGGGUCUGCGGCCGAUUAGGUAGUUGGUUAGGUAAUGGCUUACCAAGCCGUUGAUCGGUACGGGUUGUGAGAGCAAGAGCCCGGAGAUGGAACCUGAGACAAGGUUCCAGGCCCUACGGGGUGCAGCAGGCGCGAAACCUCCGCAAUGUGAGAAAUCGCGACGGGGGGAUCCCAAGUGCCAUUCUUAACGGGAUGGCUUUUCUUUAGUGUAAAGAGCUUUUGGAAUAAGGGCUGGGCAAGACCGGCGCCAGCCGCCGCGGUAACACCGGCAGCUCUAGUGGUAGCAGUUUUUAUUGGGCCUAAAGCGUCCGUAGCCGGUUUAAUAAGUCUCUGGUGAAAUCCUGUAGCUUAACUGUGGGAAUUGCUGGAGAUACUAUUAGACUUGAGACCGGGAGAGGUUAGAGGUACUCCCAGGGUAGAGGUGAAAUUCUGUAAUCCUGGGAGGACCGCCUGUUGCGAAGGCGUCUAACCGGAACGGUUCUGGCGGUGAGGGACGAAAGUUAGGGGCGCGAACCGGAUUAGAUACCCGGGUAGUCCUAACUGUAAACGAU
rnacentral:rRNA from 1 species